CUUCGGCUGUCUGAGCAUGUUGGGAGUUGUAGUUUUGCAACAGCUGGGGGCACCUUGGUUUGAAAACACUGGCAUAGGCCAUACAUAAAGGGAGCAGCAACAGUGCUAUGUACUUUACCGAAAUGCCUGUGUACCCAUUAAAUAUGUUUUGGAUAUAUAUCAAUACAUAUUAGCAGAAUAUAUAUUUUUUAAAGUGGUAUUGUUAGGUUCGACCUCAAAGGCCGAGACGUCGUCUGUCGGCGGAUGCCCAAUUAGUGUGUGGAAGGCUUUUAAGGGGCUGCAGUUACCCUACUGUCCUUCCACACCACCUGCCACUCAAAUCAAGACACAGACACAUCAGCUGUGACCAAGUCGAGUGCAGUCUCUAAGACUGGCUCUUUUCUUAAAAAGCUUUCUUGUACGCGUAAAUAGAGCAUGCGCAGUAAACUUUAAAUUGUAUCAAUGACAGCAAACAGUAAAUCUGCGUAGUCAGCAAAAAAUUAGAUACAAGGAUACAUUUGCUUAAGCUGAGGUAUAAUGAUCCAUUGUUUCGAGGACACAUCUGUGGUAGAAAGAGAUAAGAUGUUCCUUCAUUGUAUCCCGUUAGCCUUGAAUAUAAGAUGCUAAUUGUCUCGAGUCUAUUCACAGGAGUUAUGUAGAAAAAAACAAGAAUUAUAGAAUGCAGUCACUUAGACUUAAAAAAAAAAUUGAUUCUCUGGAAGACAAAAUGGAGUCUCUUCUACCCAAUUCUAUCAGGUGUAUAAAGUAAAAAUUCCUUAAGUCUACGAGGGAACAACUGAAUUAGGAUGGAAUCUCUUUGUAGGUGGAUUUUAAGCAAAGUCAACUUCUUGAGAUACAAAAUAGUGGGUUUGCCAGAGACUGAACCUCCUGUUCCUCCUCCAUGGUCCUUAGAGUCACCUUUUGAAAAAUGGACAAUUUACUCCAAAGCAUCACUGGCUGCUGCUGUUGCUUGUUUCCUCAUCUUUAUCAUCUUACACUCCCGAAGACAGUCCACUGUUCCUAAGAUGAUGAUGAUCAACAGAAGGUUGGCAGCUACACCGAUAAAUGACCUGGUUGUGUCGGAGAGUUGUAUUUUGGACACUUGGCUUUACCAUCUUGCAUUGCUCCUUAUACUCUGCCUUUUCAUAUCCAUUCCUUGGGAAUGGGUUCGAUUGUAUCAAAUAGAAGUGGCCAAGAAGGCGACCAUACUCUCCGAGGGAUAUGCCAGGAGUUGUUACCAGCAAGACCUGUCCUUCUGGGAGACUCUGAAGAUAUGGUUGUCCUGGAAUUUCUCCUGGGGCAGUGACUGUGAGAGUUACUACAAGGCUUUGAUGGUGGAUCCUUUAUGGGAAGUGACACCGCUAAUGGGGCACAUGAGAAGAUAAAUAAUGCAAACCGAGUGAAAUAAUGCCUAAAUGUGUAAUAACGUUCCUCAGUUAGGUGCCUCAAUGUCAUCCCUUUCAGCAUUUGUAGGCAAUUACAUGAAAGGCAGGGAUGAAUUGGAGACACUACUGGGCAUUUUCUGUGACCUUUUUAGAGGCCAUCAGCUCCGUUAUUGCCAGAUUUGUGGUUCACCCCAUGGAACUCUUCAGCCAUACAAUUGGCAGGAGCCUCCGCAACAUCAUGAGAGAGAUCCCCAGCCAGUGGCAGCUGCCUGUCUUCCUCUUAUUUCCACUCACGUUCAUCAGCAUUCUGAUCACAGCCCUCACCAAAAGGAAGGAUGCCAUCUGUCAUCAGACCAUAGUCACCAAUAGGUCUAGGACUUCCAGGGCUGCUCUUAUGUCUAGGACUUAAGUUUUUCCUUUAAAUAUUCCAAAAUAUUGAAGAAACUCUAAUGCACAAAGUUGGAAGAGACAAACAAGAACAUAUUUGUGUGUAGAUUUCCAUAUGAAAUUCUAUUAUAUAUAAUGAUUUUGUGUUCACAUCAGCGUUCAGAGCUCUGUUCACGGAUUCCACUAAAAUUAUGGGAUUUUAACAGAGAAAAAAAACCUGCAUAUCCGGUUUUUUCACCGUUAAAACUUGCAAAAUAACUGACAUUUAACAGAAAUGCUGACGGACCCCAUUCAAAGUAAAAAGGACCUGUCGGGUACUGUCGAUGUCGGUUAUGACACACUUUGUCCCAGCCCCGUUAUUCAGCUUUUUCAGCUGUUGUAACGGAGCUCCACAAUGCUAAUGUGAACCCAGCCCAACUCGGUUGUGCUUUAGGCACUCCUAAAAGACGAUAUGUAUUAUGUGCUAAAAAAAAACAAUUCAUCAUGUAUUGUCAUUGUACAUCACAGGCUUAAUCAUUGGUUGACAUAGAAGAAAGAGGAAUUUAUUUUCUUUUUGGAACACAGUGUUCUCUGCUGACAUCUCUGUCCAUUUUAAGAACUGUCCAGAGUAGGAGAAAAAUCCCCAUAGCAAACAUAUGCUGCUCUGGACAGUAACUAAAAUGGAGAGAGAUGUCAGCAGAGAGCACUGUGCUCAUGAUGUCAGCAGAGAGCACUGUGUUCCAAAAAGAAAAAAAAAUCCUAUGUAGUAUUCAGCAGCUAAUAAGUACUGGAAGGAUUAAUAUUUUUAAUAGAAGUAAUUUACAAAUCUAGGAAGAAAGAAUUGUGUGUGCAGCUCAAAACCAAAAAUCUAAAAAAAAAGUCGAUCCUCACCGACCAAUAGAGAAAAGUAAAAUAUUAAAAUGCAUUAGCCA